GUUAUUGAGGUUCUAACUUGGUCCAGUAAUCCUGGAUGAGGACAGUGUAUGAUGGGUAGUUUGACUGGGGCGGUCUCCUCCCAAAGAGUAACGGAGGAGCACAAAGGUACCCUCGGUACGGUCGGACAUCGUACCAAGAGUGUAAAGGCAAAAGGGUGCUUGACUGCGAGAGUGACGGCUCGAGCAGGAACGAAAGUUGGUCUUAGUGAUCCGGUGGUUCUGAAUGGAAGGGCCAUCGCUCAACGGAUAAAAGGUACUCCGGGGAUAACAGGCUGAUACCGCCCAAGAGUUCAUAUCGACGGCGGUGUUUGGCACCUCGAUGUCGGCUCAUCACAUCCUGGGGCUGAAGCAGGUCCCAAGGGUAUGGCUGUUCGCCAUUUAAAGUGGUACGCGAGCUGGGUUUAGAACGUCGUGAGACAGUUCGGUCCCUAUCUGCCGUGGGCGUAGGAAAAUUGAGAGGAGCUGCUCCUAGUACGAGAGGACCGGAGUGGACGAACCUCUGGUGCACCGGUUGUCACGCCAGUGGCAUGGCCGGGUAGCUAAGUUCGGACGGGAUAACCGCUGAAAGCAUCUAAGCGGGAAGCCUCCCUCAAGAUGAGUUUUCCCAUGAAGCCCGUUGAAGACUACGACGUUGAUAGGCAAGGUGUGGAAGCGCAGUAAUGCGUGAAGCUAACUUGUACUAAUUGGCUGAUUGUCUUGACCAU
rnacentral:rRNA from 1 species